rnacentral:rRNA from 1 species
GCCUACGGGGGGCAGCAGUGAGGAAUAUUGGUCAAUGGGAGAGAUCCUGAACCAGCCAAGCUGCGUGAGGGAAGACGGCCCUAUGGGUUGUAAACCUCUUUUGUCGGAGAACAAAACCCGGGACGUGUCCCGGACUGCGUGUAUCCGAAGAAAAAGCAUCGGCUAACUCCGUGCCAGCAGCCGCGGUAAUACGGAGGAUGCGAGCGUUAUCCGGAUUUAUUGGGUUUAAAGGGUGCGUAGGCGGUCCGUUAAGUCAGCGGUAAAAUUGCGGGGCUCAACCCAGUCGAGCCGUUGAAACUGGCAGA